rnacentral:rRNA from 1 species
GACGUAGGGGGCAAGCGUUGUCCGGAAUUAUUGGGCGUAAAGAGCUCGUAGGCGGUCUGUCGCGUCGGCUGUGAAAACCCGGAGCUCAACUCCGGGCCUGCAGUCGAUACGGGCAGACUGGAGUUCGGCAGGGGAGACUGGAAUUCCUGGUGUAGCGGUGAAAUGCGCAGAUAUCAGGAGGAACACCGGUGGCGAAGGCGGGUCUCUGGGCCGAUACUGACGCUGAGGAGCGAAAGCGUGGGGAGCGAACAGG